CCUACGGGAGGCUGCAGUAGGGAAUAUUGCUCAAUGGGGGAAACCCUGAAGCAGCAACGCCGCGUGGAGGAUGAAGGUUUUAGGAUUGUAAACUCCUUUUGUUAGAGAAGAUUAUGACGGUAUCUAACGAAUAAGCACCGGCUAACUCCGUGCCAGCAGCCGCGGUAAUACGGAGGGUGCAAGCGUUACUCGGAAUCACUGGGCGUAAAGAGUGCGUAGGCGGGGUAAUAAGUCAGAUGUGAAAUCCUGUAGCUUAACUACAGAACUGCAUUUGAAACUGUUACUCUGGAGUGUGGGAGAGGUAGGUGGAAUUCUUGGUGUAGGGGUAAAAUGCGUAGAGAUCAAGAGGAAUACUCAUUGCGAAGGCGACCUGCUGGAACAUUACUGACGCUGAUGCACGAAGGCGUGGGGAGCAAACAGGAUUAGAUACCCCAGUAGUC
rnacentral:rRNA from 1 species